rnacentral:rRNA from 1 species
AUGGAAGCUCCAACCACACAGCACAUGGCGGCCGUGAAGCAUAUACUCCGGUACAUCAGCGAGACAGCAGACUACGGGCUGCGAUAUGAGAAGCAUACUGACGGAGAGCCUGAAUUGAUGGGGUACAGUAACACUGAUCACGCCGGCGACGUCGAUGAUCAGAAGAGCACGUCAGGGAUCUUCUUUUUCCUCGGGUGCAAUCCGAUUUCUUGGGCAUCACAAAAGCAAAGGAUAGUUGCACAGUCAGCAUGCAAGGCUGAGUACAUUGCAGCUGCACUUGCAGCAUCCCAGGGAGUUUGGUUGAGCAGGUUGCAGGCUGAUCUUCAAGAUACUGAACCUGACAGAUGGAGGCUGCUGAUUGACAACAAGUCUGCCAUAGCUCUGAGUAAGAAUCCGGUGUUGCAUGAGCGCACUAAACACAUUGAUCUGAGAUAUCAUUAUAUCCGAGAGUGUGUUGAAAACGGGCAAGUUAAGGUGGAGCACGUGAGCACAAGUGAGCAGGUGGCGGAUAUUCUGACGAAGCCACUGGGGCGAGUCAGGUUCUUGGAGCUGCGACAGAAGAUGGUGGUCAUUGAGCUCAAGAGGAAGCGUCGUGCUUAA